GCCGCAUGCCCCGAGCGCUGGCACCGCCCCCGGCGGCGGCGGCCCGCCCCUUCCCGGGCGCUGAGGAGAAAGGCGGCGCCCGCCCAAAAACUGCUGAGAGGAAAAGCCGUCUCCCGUCAAACCUGGAAGUUCUGAACGCUCUUCUCCUUGAGGACCGUCGCCGAAGGUAUUUAUUUCCUUUCCAGGGGUCGUCUCAAAGGAAGAAACGUAACGGGAAGGUUUAACUACAAGAACUACGAUGGAUGAUUCUGGGAGAGACCAUGAUCUCUGAAGAUUUCUGGCAAACAAAAUAGAAAAACAAAAUCAGAACUGACACUGCAUUGACAUUCUCUAGAUGAACAUUUCUGAGAGCUACAGCAAGACAAACACAAUGUGGAAGGCACACAGCAUUUGGUAUUUGGUAUAAAAAGGUAAACAAUGUAUAAAAGAAAUGCCAUUGCCCCACAUUCAAAGGAUCCCGAAUCCACAUUGACAGAAAUCAUAUCAGUUGCACUCAGCCCAGAAUACUGAAAACAUCUAACUUAUGCUGUAGAUACUUAGAAAAUGAAGCUAUCCAGUUUUUCAUUGGUUUAGAUAUAGGGCUGUGUUCACUGUAAGACUACCAAUUUAAUUCUCAGAAAAAGAAAGCUCUCCUAGCUAUUGACUUUAAAACUCUUCCGCCCCUUUUUUAUUAACCUGGUGGAUGUCCUUUCCUGUGGUCAUGCAAGAUCAGAAGAGCUACCAGUAGCCUACAUUUAAAUGAAGAAAAAUAUUUCAGGGUUCCAAAGGCCAGUAGGAAAAAGCAUCACCAGUAAUUACACUUUUGAGGAGAGGAAUCCAGUUCAAGGCCCCUGUUGGCUAUAGGCAUCACAUUAUGAGAGAAAAAAAGGGUUUCUCUCAAAUUAUACACACUGAACUCAGUCAGUGCCAUUCAGAUACCAACAGGCUGUCAAACAUAUCUGGAGCAUGGGUACUAUAUGGCUUAGCAAGAUACCUCACUCGUUCUUCACCACCUUCAGUCUCUUUGGCUUUAAAUUAUAGCACCACACCGACACACGUCAUUGUAAGUUAACAGUGAUGUUACACAUAUAAAAAUAAAGAUCACUCAAAAAACAAACCCCAAAGCAACCUAUAGCCAAAAGAAAUCAUUGUCAUCAUUAAGUUAGUUGCUGAUGGAAAAAAACAGCAUUACUCACACAGCAGCGAGGCAGCUGGAAUCUCUGAUUAUUAUAGAGAUCCCAUUGACACUGGACACUGUCCAUAAGCGAGAAAAGCUGGUUCUCCAUAUUGUUUGCUAUGGUUAAAAAUAAAAUAAAACUGAAGAGCCAUCUGCACUGA